rnacentral:lncRNA from 1 species
UCAGAAACAAUCUGCCGUCCGUUAUAACAAAAAAGAAAAGCAAAACAUAAGAUUGGUUGGAAAAAACUUCUUUCUUAACCUCUGCACUAUAAACCAAUGCUAUAAUCAAACAAAAACCAAUGCUGUGUAUGGGAAGCAAGAUCGCUGGAGAUAAUAUAGAAGGAAUUCUGAGGAAUGUAUUUACGCGAUUGAGAGCAGCACAAGCAAGAUGCCUUUAGAUUAGUCUCAGUUCAUAUUCGCCAGCCAUUGUUAU